UUUUUGGUUUUGAACCACAUUCGGUUUUGCCAAUUGGUGUUGUUGCGCUUGCCGACAACACAUGGUUUAUGCCUAUUCCAAAGAUAAAGGUUCUUGCUAGCAGUGCGGUAUUCUAUACACCAUUUUUGAGACACAUAUGGACAUGGUUGGGUCUUACACCAGCAACAA